rnacentral:rRNA from 1 species
AGUGAACGCUGGCGGCAGGCCUAACACAUGCAAGUCGAACGGCAGCACAGUAAGAGCUUGCUCUUACGGGUGGCGAGUGGCGGACGGGUGAGGAAUACAUCGGAAUCUACUUUUUCGUGGGGGAUAACGUAGGGAAAUUUACGCUAAUACCGCAUACGACCUACGGGUGAAAGCAGGGGAUCUUCGGACCUUGCGCGAUUGAAUGAGCCGAUGUCGGAUUAGCUAGUUGGCGGGGUAAAGGCCCACCAAGGCGACGAUCCGUAGCUGGUCUGAGAGGAUGAUCAGCCACACUGGAACUGAGACACGGUCCAGACUCCUACGGGAGGCAGCAGUGGGGAAUAUUGGACAAAGGGCGCAAGCCUGAUCCAGCCAUACCGCGUGGGUGAAGAAGGCCUUCGGGUUGUAAAGCCCUUUUGUUGGGAAAGAAAAGCAGCAGGUUAAUACCCCGCUGUUCUGACGGUACCCAAAGAAUAAGCACCGGCUAACUUCGUG